rnacentral:rRNA from 1 species
GACGAACGCUGGCGGCGUGCUUAACACAUGCAAGUCGAACGAAGUGGCGAACGGGUGAGUAACGCGUAAUCAACCUGCUCUUCAGAGGGGCACAACAGUUGGAAACGACUGCUAAUACUGCAUACUGAAGGUGGGGACUGCGUCUGAUUAGCUAGUUGGAGGGGUAACGGCCCACCAAGGCGAUGAUCGGUAGCCAGUCUGAGAAGAGUGUCGGGCACAAUGGGACCGAGGCACGGCCCAGACUCCUACGGGGGGCAACCGUGGGGGAACUUUCGCAAUGGACGGAAAUCUGACUGAGCAACGGCGGGGGAGUAGAGGCGGCCUUCGGGUUUUAAAACUCUGUUAAUCGGGACGCGGUACCGAAAUAGAAAGCCACGGCUAACUACGUGCCAGCAGCCGCGGUAAUUC